AGAGGUCUCAAGUUUGAGGCCAAAGCAGAAGCACUCAUGGUGCAGCCUGUCAGAUUCCAAUGCAUCUGUGAAUUCUGCU
rnacentral:ribozyme from 1 species